UACGGAGGGGAAAAGCGUUACUCGGAAUCACUGGGCGUAAAGGGCGCGUAGGCGGCCUAGCAAGUCUGGUGUGAAAGCCCAGGGCUCAACCCUGGAAGGGCACUGGAAACUGUUAGGCUUGAGUUCCGGAGAGGAGGGGUGAAUUCCCGGUGUAGCGGUGAAAUGCGUAGAUAUCGGGAGGAAUACCGGUGGCGAAGGCGCCCCUCUGGACGGAAACUGACGCUGAGGCGCGAAAGCGUGGGGAGCAAACAGG
rnacentral:rRNA from 1 species